rnacentral:rRNA from 1 species
UGGCGGACGGGUGAGUAACGCGUGGGUAACCUGCCUCAUACAGGGGGAUAACAGUUAGAAAUGACUGCUAAUACCGCAUAAGACCACAGCACCGCAUGGUGCAGGGGUAAAAACUCCAGUGGUAUGAGAUGGACCCGCGUCUGAUUAGGUAGUUGGUGGGGUAACGGCCUACCAAGCCGACGAUCAGUAGCCGACCUGAGAGGGUGACCGGCCACAUUGGGACUGAGACACGGCCCAA